UAAGAAAUAAGAGUAAGCGCUUAUGUUUUGAAUUAUUUAAGCAUAUGAGUGCAAAGAACAACCAAAAGGCUAAAAAUAAAAUAUUUUUGCUGUGUUAGACUAAACUGCUUAUUCUCGUAGCCAGUUACAAUUAUGCUAAGGAAAGAUUAUUAAUCAACAUUUUGUCAGUAUUUUUUUCUUCUUAGAGACCUCAGUCAAGACUGGAGGCUUACUGUGGUAAUGUUCUGUGGAUAUCUGGGAGAUGCAUCUCGGCUUGCCCUCUGUAUGAGUUCUGCUUCCUCUGAAGCAGCGUCAUAAGAAGUCAGUGUCCCAGAAAAUAACUCCUUAUGUACAGCUGCUCUGGAGAAGAACUGCC
rnacentral:lncRNA from 1 species